rnacentral:rRNA from 1 species
GAUGAACGCUGACAGAGUGCUUAACACAUGCAAGUCAUUGGCGAAGCUGCGCUUUCGCUGUCUAGCGAAGGCGGACGGGUGAGUAACGCGUAAGGAAAUUGCCCUGCAGACAGGGCUAACAGACGGAAAAGACUGAUAACACCGGGUAUUGUCAGGCUGGCGCAUGCCGGGCUGAUGAAGGGGUGCGCUGCGGGAGAGCCUUGCGUCCUAUUAGUUUGUUGGUGGGGUAGCGUCCCGCCAAGGCGAUGGUAGGUCGCCGGCCUGAGGGGGUGAACGGCCACGAGGGGGCUGAGAUACGGCGCUUACUGCGACGGGAGGCGGCAGUGGGGAAUAUUGGACAAGGGGGGAAGCCCUGAUCCAGCAAUUCUGUGUGGACGAAGAAGGUUUUCGGAUUGUAAAGUGCUUUCCGCAGGGAAGAAGAAAGUGACGGUACCUGCAGAAGAAGCGACGGCUAAAUACGUG